rnacentral:rRNA from 1 species
UGUUUAACAAAAACAUGGCUUAAUUGUAUAAGUUUAUUAAGUCAGGCCUGCUCAAUGAUUAUAAUUAAUUAAAUAGCCGCAGUAUUUUGACUGUGCGAAGGUAGCAUAAUCAUUUGUCUUUUAAUUGUGGGCUUGUAUGAAUGGUUUGAUGAGAUAUUAACUUUCUUUAUUCAAUAUUUACGAAAUUAAUACUUGAGUUAAAAAGCUUAAAUGUUUUCGUGGGACGAGAAGACCCUAUAGAGUUUUAUAAUUAUAAUUAUUAAAUUAUUCAUUGGUAAGUUUCAUUAAUUCAAUAGUUUAAUUAUUUUGUUGGGGUGACGGGAAAAUUUUAUUAACUUUUCUUUAUUUUAUAUUAAUAAUUAUUAUGUUUAGAAUGAUCCUUUAUUAAGGAUAAUAAGAUUAAAUUACCUUAGGGAUAACAGCGUAAUUCU